ACGGGGAUUUGUCAUUUGGAUUGCCAUUGUUUCAGUCAGCAUGGUUUUUAUCAUCCUUUUCCUGUUUAUACCGCCUUGUCACGAUUAUUGUGCUGCUUGCUAUGGGAGACACAAGACUUCCAGAAAAUGACAGUCGAUUCUAAAUCCCAGCUUUACUGAAGCAACUGGAGCUCUUAACUAUCUGUGCCUUCAUAACUUUGACUGUUGCUUUUGGACCUCUGUGUCUGCUGGGCCAUGCAGAUAGUGUUGGAACUUCAUCCUCCAGUUCUGAAUCUACUGUUAAGUAUGCAAAUAUUUUAUUUUCAAAGAGGGACAAGAUGAGAAUCUCUUCUGCUUAAUUAAUUUUUAUUUUUUGGCCAAGACUGGCAUGGAGAGAAGUACUGAGAA